rnacentral:misc_RNA from 1 species
AAAAUAAUCCUACCCUUUGUGAAUUUUGUUUGUUUGAAUAAUUUUUUUUUUUUAAAAAAUUAUUGGAGUCUUUCCCUUUAGAGUUUGCUUUUGAGUUUGUGAAAGAAUUCGAAAACAUCUAAAGGGGAUGGUCAAUAAUUUUUUUUGAAAAAAGACAUUUUUUAAAAUUAAACUUUUUGUAUUCAUUUGUCUAAAAAUUAUUUUAUAAUAUAAAAACAACUUUUGACAAUGGAUCUCUUGGUUCUCGCAACGAUGAAGAACGCAGCAAAAUGCGAUAAGUAGUGUGAAUUGCGGAAUACGUGAAUCAUCGAAUCUUUGAACGCAUAUUGCACUUUUUUAGUUUACUAAAAAAGUAUGUCUGUUUGAGUAUCAGUAAAAUAUUCUCAUAAAAAUCAUUGUAUUUUUAUGGUUAUGAGUGUUUUACAACGAUACAAGUUGUUUCACUUUAAAUUUUUUUUAAUAUUGAAAUUUUUCUAAUUUUAAUAAUUAAAAUUGGAUAAAAUUUUCCCGUCAAAAGGAAUAACCUAAACAAUUUUAAACGAUUAAUUUUAGCAAAAUUUUCGAAAAAAGGAAAAUUUUUAUUAAAAUAACUUGAUCUCAAAUCAGAUAAGAGUACCCGCUGAACUUAAGCAUAUCAAUAAGCGGAGGAAAAGAAACUAACAAGGAUUCCCUUAGUAACGGCGAGUGAAGCGGGAAGGCUCAAAUUUGAAAUCUUCAAGGUUUUGCCUGACGAAUUGUAGUUUAAAGAAGUGUUUUCUGCUGAAGUUUUGGUAAAAGUUCUUUGGAAUAGGACAUCAUAGAGGGUGAGAAUCCCGUAUUUGACCAUUAUUUUCAGCUUUGUGAUACACUUUCAAAGAGUCGGAUUGUUGGGAAUGCAGUCCAAAAUGGGUGGUAAAUUCCAUCUAAAGCUAAAUAUUGGCGAGAGACCGAUAGCGAACAAGUACCGUGAGGGAAAGAUGAAAAGAACUUUGAAAAGAGAGUUAAACAGUACGUGAAAUUGUCAAAAGGGAAGCGUUUGACACCAGUGUUGUUUUCUCGAAAAUCAAUUAAAAAUGGCUCGAUUUUGUAUUGCUGAGACCUUAAAAGCUCACUGUACAUUUUUCGUGUCUUUUUAAUGCACUUUUCGUUAACAAGUCAACAUCAGUUUCUUUUGUUGUAAAAGGGUCAUUGGAAGGUGGCUUUCUUUUCGGAGAAAGUGUUUAUAGCCUUUGGCCUCUGCAAUCGAAGAGACUGAGGUCUGCAGCGUAGACUCUUCGGGGUUAGAUACAUUUGUGCUAAGUUAUAGCUUUUUAUAGACAACUUGUUGACUAUAAUUAGUCUUGUAGCUUACUCGCUUAUGCUAUUUUACCUACGCUUAGGAUG